rnacentral:rRNA from 1 species
GAUGAACGCUAGCGGCAGGCUUAACACAUGCAAGUCGAGGGGCAGCGCGGGAUAGCAAUAUCCUGGCGGCGACCGGCGGAAGGGUGCGUAACGCGUGAGCGACAUGCCCGUUGCCCGGGGACAACCGGUGGAAACGCCGACUAAUCCCCGAUGGGAUAUUGUGCCGCAUGGCACGAUAUUGAAAGUUACGGCGGCGACGGAUUGGCUCGCGUCCGAUUAGCUUGUUGGCGGGGUAACGGCCCACCAAGGCUGCGAUCGGUAGGGGUUCUGAGAGGAAGGCCCCCCACAAUGGGACUGAGACACGGCCCAUACUCCUACGGGGGGCAGCAGUGAGGAAUAUUGUUCAAUGGGCGGAAGCCUGAACCAGCCAUGCCGCGUGCGGGAAGGAGGCCCUAUGGGCUGUGAACCGCUUUUGCCUGGGGGCAAUAAGGGCGUCGCGCACGUCCGAUGAGAGUACCAGGCGAAUAAGCAUCGGCUAACUCCGUG